AAGCAGAGGAGCAAGAAAUUGCAUUUCUUGUGUUCAUCUAAACAUUACUGGAGGAUAAGCCACAUCAGUCUACAAAGAGGUUUUCAUACAGGCAACAUACGAUGUAAAUGGACCCAAAGUGAAGCACAUUCUUGCACUAAGCAUUGUUACUCUCCAAGCAACCAUGGUUUACAUAUUGGAAUUUUGAAACUUAGUACUUCUGCUCCCAAGGGACUUAUGAAAGUGAGCAUUCAUAUGUCCCGUAUUAAAAGUACUUUGAGCUCUGUUUCAAAGGCUGUUUUUGGCAACCAGAAUGAAAUGAUUUCACGGUUAGCUCAAUUUAAGCCAAGUUAUCGAAUAUUAUGAAAAGUAACAGAUAGUGGCUGGUUAAAACAGAAAAACAUUAAACAAGCUAUCAAAUCUCUGAAAAAAUAUAGUGACAAAUCAGCAGAAAAGGAUCUUUUUCCAGAAGAAAAAAGUCAUGUUCCAGAUAAAGAAGAUGUAAGUAAACAAAGUCUUUUUCAUUAUACAAAUAUUAUAAGCAAAAAAUUUGGAGAGUCAUUCUACUUUUUAUCAAAUCACAUUAAUUCAUAUUUCAAACGUGAGGAAAAAAUGUCUCAAGAAAAGGAAAAUAAACAUUUCCAGGAAAAAUUAGAACUUGAAGGUAAAAAUGUUGAAGAAGGGAAAUCAAAUCCUCCAGAUACUGGUAUCCUGACUGAUAAGCCAGGCUCACAAUCUUCUUCAGAUCCUGUGGACAAGCCUGCAAGUCUCAGUGGGGUACCUGAGGUUCCUCCAAUGUCUGCUAAACAAAGUAUUGCUAACUUUCUUUCUCAUCCUACUGAAGGUGUACAAGCUUUAGUAGGCAGUUAUAUUGGCGGAAUUGUCCCGAAAUUAAAGUAUGAUUCAAAGAGUCAGUCGGAAGCUCAGGAAGAACCUGCUAAAACUGAGCAGGCUGUCAGCAAAGACAAAAAUGCAGAGGAGAAAAAAAGAUUAUCUCUUCAGUGAGAAAAGGUCAUUGCAAGGGUGAGUAUUGAUAACAGAGCCCGGGCAUUAGUUCAGGCAUUGAGAACAGCUGACCCAGAGCUCUGCAUUACUCAGGUUGAAGAACUGACUUUUCAUCUUCUAGAAUUUCCAUAUUUAUUAUGACUGAGACAAAUUAAGGAUGAAACUCUUCAGGCUGCAGUUAGAGAAAUUUUGGCAUUAAUUGGCUACAUGGAUCCAGUGAAAGGGAGAGGAAUCUGAAUUCUUACAAUUGAUGGUGGAGGAACAAGCGGUGUGGUUGCUCUUCAGACACAAGGGAAAUUGGUUGAACUUACUCAGAAACCAGUUCAUCAGCUCUUUGAUUACAUUUGUGAUGUAAGCACAGGUGCCAUAUUAGCUUUCAUGUUGGGAUUGUUUCAUAUGCCCUUGGAUGAAUGCGAGGAACUUUAUUGAAAAUUAGGAUCAGAUGUGUUUUCACAAACUGUCAUUGUUGGAACAGUCAAAAUGAGUUGGAGCCAUGCAUUUUAUGACCGUCAAACAUGGGAAAAUAUUCUUAAGGAUAGAAUGGGAUCUGCACUAAUGAUUGAAACAGCAAGAAAUCCCACCUGUCCUAAGGUAGCGGCUGUAAGUACCAUAGUAAACAGAGGGAUAACACCAAAAGCUUUUGUGUUCAGAAACUAUGGUCACUUUCCUGGAAUCAACUCUCAUUAUUUGGGAGGCUGCCAAUAUAAAAUGUGGCAGGCCAUCAGAGCCUCAUCUGCUGCUCCAGGCUACUUUGCAGAAUAUGCAUUGGGAAAUGAUCUUCAUCAAGAUGGAGGUUUGCUUUUGAAUAACCCUUCAGCCUUAGCGAUGUAUGAGUGUAAAUGUCUUUGGCCAGAUGUCCCAUUAGAGUGCAUAGUAUCCCUGGGCACUGGACCUUAUGAGAGUGACGUGAGAAACACCACAACACACACAAGCUUGAAAACCAAACUUUCUAAUGUUAUCAACAGUGCUACAGAUACAGAAGAAAUCCAUAUAAUGCUUGAUGGUCUGUUACCUCCUGACACCUAUUUUAGAUUCAAUCCUGUAAUGUGUGAAAACAUACCUCUAGAUGAAAGUCGAAAUGAAAAGCUGGAUCAGCUGCAGUUGGAAGGGAUGAAGCACAUAGAAAGAAAUGAACACAAAAUGAAAAAAGUUGCAAAAAUAUUAAAUCAAGAAAAAACAACUCUGCAGAAAAUUAAUGAGUGGUUAAAGUUAAAAACUGACAUGUAUGAAGGCCUUCCAUUCUUUUCAAAGUUGUGAUGAGUAUGUGUAUACUUUCUCAUAAAUGAAGGUAUGUUCAGAAAAUACACCAAAUUCAAUAAGGAAUUUGGGGGGUUGACAUGAGUAGACUUUGAAGUACUUAUGAAUUCUGGCAAAUCCUGAGAAAGGCGGUGCUUCGGCUAGCUUGCACAGCACAGAGGAUGUGCUUGGUUACAGAAUUCUGUGGGAAUUAGGUUUCUAAGAUGUUCAUAAUUAACUAAACUUUAGGAAUCUUAUUAUUGUGCUAGUUGGUUUUAGUAGAUAUUAGUGUUAUAUUGUUUGAUGUUUGAAAAUUUAUUAAUAUAUGUGCCAAACAAGAAACUGAAAACUAUUCAUAUUCUCUUUUUAUUUUUGCUGUAGUCAUCAUAAUCAUGUUGAAUUUAUGUGAUCAUUGAUUUUAUUUCAUGUGGAAAGCUAAUUUCUUAAAUUUACAUUAUUUAAUGUUUUCACUAGCUACAUUCCACAAUAUACAUGCCAUCUUUUAAUGUAUUACACCCAAAUAGAUGCAGAAAAACGGAAUUUCUCUACUACUUCUACAAUUGAAAUAUGAAAGAACCAAAUACAGUUUUCUAUUCAAAAUUUGCUUAUUUUAACAUCAUUUGGUUAAAAAAAAAGGCGAGGUUCUAAUCAUCCAUUCUUUUUCCCCUGAAAUUUCAAGAUAAUUCUGUAUGUUAACUUUUAUAGCUCUAGCUCUGGUUUAUCAUUUUCUGUUACAAAAUUGUUUGAAUUUACUGGGAAAAUAUUCAUAUCAUUAAUAAAAAUUA